rnacentral:rRNA from 1 species
GACGAACGCUGGCGGCGUGCUUAACACAUGCAAGUCGAGCGGUAAGGCCCUUUCGGGGGUACGACGAGCGGCGAACGGGUGAGUAACACGUGGGUGGACCUGCCCUCAGCUCUGGGAUAAAGCCUGGGAAACCGGGGUACUAAUACCGGAUAUGACUCCAUGACGCAUGUUGUGGGGUGGAAAGCCUUGUGCGGCUGAGGAUGGGCCCGGCGGCCUAUCAGCUUGUUGGUGGGGUGAUGGCCUACCAAGGCGACGACGGGUAGCCGGCCUGAGAGGGCGACCGGCCACACUGGGACUGAGACACGGCCCAGACUCCUACGGGAGGCAGCAGUGGGGAAUCUUGCGCAAUGGGCGAAAGCCUGACGCAGCGACGCCGCGUGAGGGAUGACGGCCU